rnacentral:rRNA from 1 species
UACGGAGAGUGCUAGCGUUGUUCGGAAUCACUGGGCGUAAAGGGCGUGUAGGCGGUCUGUUAAGUCUGAUGUGAAAUCCCCUCGCUUAACGAGGGAACUGCGUCGGAAACUGGGCAACUUGAGUACGGGAGAGGGUAGUGGAAUUCCGAGUGUAGGGGUGAAAUCCGUAGAUAUCCGGAGGAACACCGGUGGCGAAGGCGGCCACCUGGACAGGUACUGACGCUGAGGCGCGAAAGCGUGGGGAGCAAACAGG